UUCCUCCGGAGCUGAACAUGCCGGAAGCGACAGUUCCCAGCGCUUCUCCGCAGGCCUCUCCGAGUGAGCUCUAUUUUAAAGCACCCAGGGCCUCGCAGAGCCUCAUGGGAGCGGUAGUUCCCCCGCGCUCCCGCCGUGUCCCUGGCUCUGGGAGUGGAGGAGCGGAAAGAGAGCGUGCGCCGAGUCACGCUUCGGGCUGCGACGCAACCGCCGCUGGGCGGAGAGUUGCCGCCAACCGCCUUAACGGCCGAAACAAUGUUAGUGGCUUUCAAGUCUGUCUGCGCGUUCCCAUUAUCGUCUGUGUGUGCCCCCUUGGUCAUUAUACACGGAGUCGGUGGGCUCCAUAGGUACCCGCGUAACAAGGCAGGUGCGAGAACUGUCCGGGAGCCUGGUGAGCGCCGCCGCACCUCGCCUUAGAGCCACAUCUCCUCUAAUGCCUGGAAAGGUAGAGGCCGUCAUUUAUUUUGAAUCCGUCCCUAGGUGGAAAACCCAUGUUUUUAAACUUCUUGAAGAUUUUUUUUUCAUGUCCCACGUAUAAGGUUGCAUAAAUUUGAGAAAUGUGUCUACCGCAGACCUGUCCAAAAAUCGUCACUGUGCACCAAUGUUACUGCGCAGAAAUUCAUCCACAACUUCAUCGGCGCUUUAGAUUUAACCUAAGAUUCUCUUCCUAUAUUUGGUCCUUGAUAAAGAUAUUUGGAAAUAAUUGAUUACAAUGAAGUACUCAGAAAUGCCACUAGUGCCUGGAGGAUUCAGCUAAAUGAACACUGCAGUAAAGUUAGCUUAAAGACAAAACAGUUUAUUGUGCACCUAUUGCGUGCAAUGUACUUCAAUAGACAGUUAACAUUUCAUCAAUUUGCGCUAUCUGGCUUUGUAUUGAAAGACAUUAAAGAACAAA